AAUUCGAUGCAUGGAGAAAAUAGAUAAUAUAAUGGAAAUCGCGGGUUUGGAAACGGAUUAUUAUUCACGUCACUUUCUUUUUAUCGAGACUAUUUUUCCAUGAGCGCUGCCUGCGUAUUUGCUCUAGCCCUAGGACGAAACCCCUAGUGGUUUUAGUGAUUUGGACGAACACCCAGAUCAUCAAUAUUGUUGGGUUUACUUCAGAGAUCAUCUUCGCACUUUGUUGUCCAGUUCUGGGUGGAUACGGGCUUCACAUCUGCGGAAUUCCAGCAGAGAGUAUUGAGCCAUAAUACUCCUUAAUGGCGGGUGCUUCUUAGCUUUGCUUCACACGGUAUUUGUCAGUGAUAUUUAUAUACCCUUGCUGGACGUGGAGAUUAUUCUCCUUUUGCUACUCGUGGGAACUCUUCCUGGCUGCUGUAGCAUAUCCAACCUCUAGUAGCUGUCACAGUGAAGACGUGAGACGUAAAAGAGGAAUUGCGGUAUGUUCCAGAAGCUUGGACAGAAAUAUAGUGUUAUUGUGGCGUGAGAGUGUUUAUUUAGAACAGAACCGUGAUAUUGUUCCCUAAUGGUUACUCUGGAUGGGCUUAUGGAGAUGUAACAGCUGUUUCAUGUCCGUAGCAGACCGAUAGAAGCUGCAGUAACAACUAGAAAGUAUUGAUAAGCCCUGUACAUGCUUUUGGAGAGUGAAAAUACGCUACAGCAGUAAUCAGAAAUCUGUAGCAGAACCUGAACGUAGCUUGGAAGGUGUUAAAUGAGUCUUGAAGAUUAUAGGAGCGGUCUACAUUGUUGAAUGGUCAUUAUGAAAGACAAAGUUAACAUAUUGCCUGUGUUCUGGCUGCCUUAAGAGGUUUCUAUUGUCAUGAGGCUUGCAGUCAAAAUUUUUGAGAGAUUCAUUGAAGAUGGAUCUACUAGAGUUUACUUGUCAGAGCUAUUGCAUGGAUAUACUUGAUCCAAGCUCAACAUAGAGAGAUCUCCAUUUGUCAAUAUGCUGGAAGCAUUCGUGCAUGAGAUCAACGAGGGAAAGAGAAUGGAGUGCCAGCAUCAGGCCCAGUUAGCAGAGGCUGGAGUGAUCCCUUGGAACAGGACCAUUAUCUGGAUGGAUGGUCCUUUGGGAUGGACCUCCUGGAUUGACAACUGAUUCCUUCCUCACUAUUGGUUUUGUUAUGAUCUUAGUGUAUAUGAGGCAGUUAUAUGGCAUGUUCUAGUAUAUAGUCCAUGGUGUAUACUAUUUUGUAUAUCCUUGUGUAUAGCGGGUUAUCAUUUUGUAUAGCAGGCAGCAGUAUAUCAUUUUGUUUAGCAGGCAGUAUUGUAAUCUAUGGACUCAGUCCCAUUUAUGUAGUUUAUAACUGUGAAGGACAGUCUGAGAAUCAGAUUUGUUUCUGGUUAUUGUAUCUGAUUUUUUGCUCUAUAAUUAAUACAAAAAAAGUUUUGUUGCAAGUUAA